CCAUGCAAGUCGAGCGGGAUCUUCAUUAGCUUGCUUUUGAAGAUCAGCGGCGGGACGGGUGAGUAACACGUGGGCAACCUGCCUGUAAGACUGGGAUAACUUCGGGAAACCGGAGCUAAUACCGGAUAAUCCUUUCCCUCACAUGAGGGAAAGCUGAAAGACGGUUUCGGCUGUUCACUUACAGAUGGGCCCGCGGCGCAUUAGCUAGUUGGUGAGGUAACGGCUCACCAAGGCAACGAUGCGUAGCCGACCUGAGAAGGGUGAUCGGGCACACUGGGACUGAGACACGGCCCAGACUCCUACGGGAGGCAGCAGUAGGGAAUCUUCCGCAAUGGACGAAAGUCUGACGGAGCAACGCCGCGUGAACGAUGAAGGCUUCGGGUCGUAAAGUCUGUUGUCAGGGAAGAACAAGUACCGGAGUAACUGCCGUACCUUGACG
rnacentral:rRNA from 2 species